rnacentral:rRNA from 15 species
GAUGAAGAACGCAGCGAAAUGCGAUACGCAAUGCGAAUUGCAGAACCGCGAGUCAUCAGAUCUUUGAACGCAAGUGGCGAUAGCUAUGGCUAUCAUGUUUGCUUCAGUGU